CUCCGCUUUAAACAGUCUCACGCUCGAUAGCUGGACUGGUUAUUUUUCUUCCUCAAUUGAAUUUCGGUAUUCUGAUGAACACGUUGGAGCUGCGAGUCCUGGAGGAGAGAGGAAAAAAGAGGAACAAAAUGAAAAAUGGACCUGUGGCGAGGAGGAGGGGACCUCGAUGCAGUCUGCGAGUACGUUCCUGGCUGUCUGGAAAUGUCAGUAGAUCGUGUCUCUUCUAGGGGCUCCAUCCGCAGGAAAAGUUAUUCUCCAGAUUGUCCAAGAAUUGAUGGGCUAUUACUGCUAUUACGCUCCGUUUGAUUUAUUUUGCCGACUCUGAAUGGGAUGAUUUUUUUAUGACUCGGUCGCGCUUUGUAAACGACCGUCACACCUCAGUAGGUCAGGUGUCACAAGAUUCUUCGUUUGUCGUUUUGAGGGACAAUUUUUUUUUCACUGUACAUUGCAUAAUUUGUAGCGUCGAAGUCCACUAAAUGUGUUGUAAAUAAUGAAGUUCACGGGAAACAUGGCACAACGUUAGGAGGGACGGGGGAAAAGUUCGUUGGAGAAUCCACUUGACUAACGUCGUUGCGGCUAGCGACGCCAGCGGCGUAGUUGCGUACUACACAGCGGCGCGAGGUUUGAAUGAACACUCGGUACUGGGGGUUGGGAUUAUGAGGGCGAAAUUAAUAGAUUAAAAUUGCUGUUAAAUUUUGAACUGUUGAAUUAAUAUCGACGAAAGGAAUGUCUGUCUUCACGUCGCAAUACCGCGUAUAUAGACAUUUUGCGUCGAAGCCACAAGUCUCGCUGUAUAAAAUAUUAAUUCAUUUUAAUUUUCGAACUGUUGAGGACGUGGGCACCAGUGAUUUUCCCUAUUUGAAGAUUCCAGUCGGCCAGGAGAGCUAGACCACAGAUAUGCGACGAGUAGAUAGGGAAAUGACUGCUAUAAGAAGCAAUAGAUGGAAAAAAUAUAUAUUUCAAAAAUAUAUCACGGCUGUGUAAAGAGAAAUUUCUUACAUAUUGCAAUAAAAAACAAGGUUCCUCAUUUAUGGGAACAAUGUUCUUCACAGGAUAGGAUUUUUCGGCGCCAUACCUCCAAAUGAUGCAAAAAAAAAAUUCACGUACUGUGUUCUUUGACCGUUCAGAGGAUAGUCAUCGCCCUUUGCGAGAUUUGCACAAAAAAAAUACUUGCACACUCCCUUAUCAAAAUAA